UACCCUUGACAUGCCUGGAAUCUUGCAGAGAUGUGAGAGUGCUCGAAAGAGAGCCAGGACACAGGUGCUGCAUGGCCGUCGUCAGCUCGUGUCGUGAGAUGUUGGGUUAAGUCCCGCAACGAGCGCAACCCUUGUCAUUAGUUGCUACGAAAGGGCACUCUAAUGAGACUGCCGGUGACAAACCGGAGGAAGGUGGGGAUGACGUCAGGUCCUCAUGGCCCUUAUGGGG
rnacentral:rRNA from 1 species